UGGGGAAUAUUGCACAAUGGGGGAAACCCUGAUGCAGCGACGCCGCGUGAACGAAGAAGGUAUUCGUAUCGUAAAGUUCUGUCCUAUGGGAAGAUAAUGACAGUACCAUAGAAGAAAGCUCCGGCUAAAUACGUGCCAGCAGCCGCGGUAAUACGUAUGGAGCGAGCGUUGUCCGGAAUUAUUGGGCGUAAAGGGUACGCAGGCGGUUUAAUAAGUCGAAUGUUAAAGAUCGGGGCUCAACCCCGUAAAGCAUUGGAAACUGAUAAACUUGAGUAGUGGAGAGGAAAGUGGAAUUCCUAGUGUAGUGGUGAAAUACGUAGAUAUUAGGAGGAAUACCAGUAGCGAAGGCGACUUUCUGGACACAAACUGACGCUGAGGUACGAAAGCGAGGGGAGCAAACAGG
rnacentral:rRNA from 1 species